rnacentral:rRNA from 1 species
AGCGAACGCUGGCGGCAGGCCUAACACAUGCAAGUCGAACGAACCUUUCGGGGUUAGUGGCGGACGGGUGAGUAACACGUGGGAACGUGCCUUUAGGUUCGGAAUAACUCAGGGAAACUUGUGCUAAUACCGAAUGUGCCCUUCGGGGGAAAGAUUUAUCGCCUUUAGAGCGGCCCGCGUCUGAUUAGCUAGUUGGUUGAGGUAAUGGCUCACCAAGGCGACGAUCGGUAGCUGGUCUGAGAGGAUGAUCAGCCACUUUGGGACUGAGACACGGCCCAAACUCCUACGGGAGGCAGCAGUGGGGAAUCUUGCGCAAUGGGCGAAAGCCUGACGCAGCCAUGCCGCGUGAAUGAUGAAGGUCUUAGGAUUGUAAAAUUCUUUCACCGGGGACGAUAAUGACGGUACCCGGAGAAGAAGCCCCGGCUAACUUCGUG